rnacentral:rRNA from 1 species
AUGAGCCUGUGCGCACGAGUUGCUCUGCUCCGGGAUCUCCUCGCGCUGAUGGCCUCAGAUGCACCAGACGCGGCCAUCCCCGCCGCGGCCCGGUCCCAGCGGGAUGAGUUCUGGAAGGAGAAGCUCGCUGACCCGCUGCCUCCUAGCCGUCGCUAUCAACGCCCGCAAGCACAACCUGAAGAAGAGCGUCUGAGGUGCUUGCUAGCUUCAACUGGACGAGGACGGCGACCUACGGACUACGACAAGAAUUCUUCUGCAGUUGAAGUCAUUGCCCAGUCCCAGAUGCUCAUGUUUCCGUGUGUUGUUUCUUGGAGAGGAUAUCGUUCUUCAAAUAUGGAAGGGUCUAACAAUGAAUCAAUUCUUCUUCAUGUGCAACCUAACCUACUUCCCAAAUUCAUAUAUAACCAUCUGGCAGGUCUGAUGGACCAAACGACCAAGGCGACUACAGAGUUAAACCAUUUUUUCCUCGCAGCAGCAGUCCACCAAUAUUUUAAAGUGGAGUUCAUCUACCGUUGGAGGGGCUGUAGGCUGGCCCAGCUAAGCGCGGCAUGCCAAACCAUACUGACAACCGCACAGCCAAAGAACAAAUGGAACUUUGUAUACCCUGACAUCUACUAUUUGUUCGGUUGUAGAUCACCGGGGAGGGAGGGCUCUAAUGGAGGGGUGUGGUGGAGGGGCAAAGAAGAGGGGGGUGGUGGAAGGGCAAAGAAGAGGGGAAGGGAGGGCUCUAAUGGAGGGGUGGUGGAGGAGGAGCAUUGGAACAAGCAAGGUGCAAGGAAAGAGGGAGAAAGGAAGGAGGGAGGAAGAAUAAAGGGGAGGAAGGAGGGGAAAAGUGGUAGUGGUGGUUCGAACAAUGCAACUGCCGAGUUCGUGAACUUUUUGGACACCAACACCGUUGACAUCGAUGAGGCCCCAUUCGCCGCAUUUGAGUACAAUGAAACGGAGGGCGGUGUGGAUGAUCAUGGAGGUGAAGAAAAAUUGGAGGAGAUCGAUGAGUUGGUGUAUGAGCAAUCACAAGCAAAGAGUGAAAAAAUCCAAAGAUCAAAGAACUACACGAUCUUGGAAGACCAAAUCUUGAUCAAGCAUGGAGUGCGGUCUCUUGACGCAUGCACGGGGCGUUGGGACGUGAUCAAGCCCAUUUGCAGCCGUUGGGCAGCUUGCUUGGAGCAAGUACGCAAUGCACCUCCAAGUGGAACCGUGGAGUCUGACUAUGACAAAAUUGCCCAACAUAUGUACAAAGACAUGGAGGCUUCGGAAGGCAAAUUCUUUAAACUAGAUCAUUGUUGGGAGUUGCUCAAAAAUUGUGAAAAGUGGGCGUUGAUAGAGAAAGAGUCCCCACCGAAGAGAGGUUCACUUACAAACAUGGAUGAAGAUGAGGAUGAUGAUGGCCCAAGGAACUUGAACAAGCCCGAUGGCGACAAGAAGACUAGGGAGAAGAUCAAGAGAGAGCACGAAGCGGUGAGUUUGAGGGAGAAGAUUGAUGCCAUGGUGCAACCAAAUGAGAUGAUGCUUUUGAAGUCGUUGGAGAUCAAGAAAGAUUGGCCGAGAAGAAGGCGCGAGAGAAGCAUGAGAAAUGGGAGUUGCUCAAGAAAGAGGGGCUGCGCAAAGUGGCCAUUGAGGAGAGAAGAGUACGUGCUGCUGAGAACAAAGCCACAUCCAUGUUGCUCGUGGAAGAGAACAAGAUCAUUGCGUGUUACAGUGCGGGAGGUGGAUUCGGUGGGUGGUUUGGAGCCAAUGUCGCCGAUGCGUUCAGUGCACCAGCCGAUGAUUUCGCUGCCGGCGUUGGCACAAGCGCCGGAGGUGGAUUCGGUGGCUCCGAUGAUCUCCAUGGACUCGAUGGCGCGGAGUGAAGAUCGACCAAGAUGA